GCCAGGUGUGGUGGUGCACACCUGUAAUCCCAGCUACUCGGGAGGCUGAGGCAGGAGAAUCGCUUGAACCUGGGGGGCAGAGGUUGCAGUGAGCCGAGAUCGCGCCACUGCACUCCAGCCCAGGUGACAAAGCGAGAGACUGUCUCAA
rfam:Homo sapiens chromosome X, GRCh38 reference primary assembly.